UCGUUUUCAUCAUCUCCUUUUCUAGCCAGAACAAAAUCUAACUUCACCCAAAAAAACAAAAACAAAAUAUCAAGCCAUAACCAGAAUACAAAAACAAAAUUUUCCAUGAAUCCAAAUCGAAUCUUUGCCUCUCAAACACUGCGAAUCCGCUUGAAACUGUGAAGAAAAAGGAACUUGGUUCUCCAUUUAACCAUGAAAGAAAGCUUUUUGAGUAUAUACAGUAGGUUUUGAGAGCUGCCCUGAUCAUGCACCGACCUCUGGACGAAGAAUUGCUCCUGACAAAUUGGAGUAUUCUUGAACUCUUACAACCUCAAAUGGUCAUGAAGUUUCGUGGCACAGCGCAGAAUCAAUUACCAGGUCCAUACGGAUGCAAACUGUUGAUGCACUGCGCUUGGGUGAGAGAGGCAAAGCUUCCAGUCUGCUUUUGAAUCUUGGCCGUGGGAAUGAUUCGUUAAGAGCUGAUGACUUCGUCUAUAUUCUUAAUUACUGUGCAAAGUCACCUGAUCCAUUGUUUGUCAUGAAGACUUGGAGAAUAAUGGAUGAAAAAGAGAUUAGCCUGAAUAACAUAUGCUCUUUGCUUAUUGUACAUGCUCUAUGUAAAGGAGGAUAUUUGGAGGAAGUAGGAUUCAUGCUAUAUACUCAAAAGGUAUUAUCUAGCUAGCUUAGUCAGCUGAUAAUAGUGAAACUACCUUGUUAGGAUUACUGUUGUUUACACCAUAAUCAAUCGAGCAAAUCCAGC